CAGUAGCCGCGGUAAUACGGAGGGAGCUAGCGUUGUUCGGAAUUACUGGGCGUAAAGCGCACGUAGGCGGUUAUUCAAGUCGGAGGUGAAAGCCCGGGGCUCAACCCCGGAACUGCCUUUGAAACUAGAUGACUGGAAUCUUGGAGAGGUCAGUGGAAUUCCGAGUGUAGAGGUGAAAUUCGUAGAUAUUCGGAAGAACACCAGUGGCGAAGGCGACUCACUGGACAAGUAUUGACGCUGAGGUGCGAAAGCGUGGGGAGCAAACAGGAUUAGAUACCCGAGUAGUCCCUGUCUCUUAUAA
rnacentral:rRNA from 1 species